AUAGCCUGCCUAAUUGGAGCAUGUACUAUUCAAAAGUGCCCGGCGUAUCCUCAGGCCACCUGCGUAGCUGUGUGUCCCUGCACGUCUGUUUGGAUAUAUAACGGAGAAGACGUCACAGACCGCUGUAACAACAGGGGCUAAUCAGCGCACAGGAAAACAUGGCGCGAAAUUUGAAAAAAUAAAAAAAUAAAAGUCUCAUCAUUCAA